rnacentral:rRNA from 1 species
GUCCAACCUGCCGAUAGACUCGGGGAUAGCCUUUCGAAAGAAAGAUUAAUACCGAUGGCAUAGUUCUUCCGCAUGGUGGAACUAUUUAAAGAAUUUCGGUUCAUCGAUGGGGAUGCGUUCCAUUAGGUUGUUGGCGGGGUAACGGCUCACCAAGGCGACGAUACAUAGGGGGACUGAGAGGUUAACCCCCACACUGGUACUGAGACACGGACCAGACUCCUACGGGAGGCAGCAUG